UGGGGAAUAUUGGACAAUGGGGGCAACCCUGAUCCAGCCAUGCCGCGUGCGUGAAGAAGGCCUUAGGGUUGUAAACCGCUUUCAGGAGGGAAGAAAAUGACGGUACCUCCAGAAGAAGGUGCGGCCAACUACGUGCCAGCAGCCGCGGUGACACGUAGGCACCAAGCGUUAUCCGGAUUCAUUGGGCGUAAAGAGCUCGUAGGCGGUUCGGUAAGUCGGGUGUGAAAAUCCAAGGCUCAACCUUGGGACGCCACCCGAUACUGCUGUGACUCGAGUGCGGUAGGGGAGCGGGGAAUUCCUGGUGUAGCGGUGAAAUGCGCAGAUAUCAGGAGGAACACCAGUGGCGAAGGCGCCGCUCUGGGCCGUAACUGAUGCUGAGGAGCGAAAGCAUGGGUAGCAAACAGGAUUAGAUACCCCGGUAGUCC
rnacentral:rRNA from 1 species